GAAAAAAAGAGUUAAAGAGGAGAUGGCAGCGGUACUGAAGCCAAACAGAGCUCGUAAACAUUUUACUUAAAAAAAAGGGGAGUGGCAGAGUGUGUCUGGAAGUAAAGUUGGGAUUGGGGAUCAAAAAAUUGGGUGUGGUCAGUAGUGUCGUACCGAGAGGACAAGAUCUGGGGAUUGGGCAAUGAAAUGAGAAUAGGGAAAGCAGCAGCUGGUUCUAAGAGUAGCACCACCACCAAAUUGGUCUUUAUUUGCGUGGCGCUGUUGGGGGGAUUUCUUCUUGUAGAUCUGCUCUGGGCUUCCUCUUCUUCUUCCUCUUCCUCCUUCAACUGGCCUCUCCCAACAUCCAAUGUCCUUGUCUUUCCUAAUCAGACUCUCCCCAAGGCGAAGAAAGACGGAGAUGCCGGUCCCCAGAGGAUAUUAUCAGCUACUUUUGCGGAUUUGCCAGCCCCGCAAUUGAAGUGGGAGAAGAUGGCCACAUCCCCUGUGCCUCGCCUUGAUGGUGCUGCUCUCCAGAUCAACGACCUUCUUUACGUCUUUGCUGGUUAUGGAACCAUUGAUCAUGUCCGCACAUCACCCUAAUAAUUUUCCUUUGGCCGUCAUUUUCUUUUUUAUUACGCGAACUGCCGGAUUUUCUCACCUUCUGUCUGUAAUGAAAUUAAAUUGAUUUCCCCCCCCCNCAGGGGUCCUACUGCUCGCAAUUUUGUUCUCGACACUGAGACGAAGCAAUGGCAGGACUUGCCUCCUUUGCCAGUCCCAAGGUAUGCGCCUGCAACACAGCUUUGGAGAGGCAGGCUUCAUGUAAUGGGUGGGAGCAAAGAGAACAGACAUACCCCAGGAUUAGAGCAUUGGAGUAUUGCUGUUAAGAAUGGAAAAGCUUUAGAAACAGAGUGGCGGACUGAGAUACCCAUUCCUCGUGGUGGACCUCACAGGGCCUGUGUUGUGUUUGAUGAUCGACUUUAUGUCUUUGGUGGUCAAGAGGGUGAUUUUAUGGCUAAACCUGGAUCACCUAUUUUCAAAUGCUCGCGUAGAAACGAGGUUGUAUAUGAUGAUGUUUACAUGUUAGAUGAUGACAUGAAAUGGAAAGUGUUGCCUCCCAUGCCAAAGCCAGAUUCCCAUAUAGAGUUUGCUUGGGCUAUUGUCAACAGAUCUCUUGUAAUUGUUGGAGGAACUACUGAGAAGCACCCAAAUACCAAAAAGAUGACCCUUGUUGGAGAAAUAUUCCAGUUUCAGUUUGAUACACAGAAAUGGAAGGUUAUUGGCAAACUUCCUUACCGUGUAAAGACAACUCUUGUUGGCUUCUGGAAUGGAUGGUUGUACUUCACAUCAGGACAAAGAGACAAAGGACCGGAUGAUCCAGCGCCAAGGAAGGUCAUUGGAGAGAUGUGGAGAACUAAAUUAAAGUUGUUAUGAGCUCAUAUUUUUACCUAACCUUCUGCCCUCAUAGAGAAAUGUUAUAGUGUAAAUUAAUGCGAGUGCUUUUGUUACUUUCUCUUUUUUAUUUGUUUCCAUGCGAUUUAUUUUGGUCCAACCUCAUUUAGCCAUGGGUGGAAACCAAUUACACAGUGGAGAGUGGGCAGUGUUAUAUUCUUUUAGCUUCAA